AUUUUUUGUUGUUGUUGUUUUUUAAUCCUCCCCCUCCCCGUUUUGUUUUUUUUUAAUCACACUGCCAUGGAAACUGCUUUCCCCAAAACUUUGAUCCACAGGCCUAAUUAGGCCAUCUGUCAGGGCAACUAAAGUUUGCCUUGCGAACAAGUUCCAGUCUCAUCAGAAGAAAUGUAAAUCCAGCUGUCUCUUACAGACUGAGUCCUGACAAAUUUUAAGUAAAUAGCAAGUUUACCUGAUCUCUGGGACCUUAAAACCAUGGAAUCUGCCAAAGCCCUGUUCAAAUGUCCUCCCUCUAAGCCCAGGGAAUAUUGCGGAAGACGGGGCGUGCCAGAUUGUAAGGGCCAAUUCUGAGGGAUGGAAUUAGUUUAGACCUCCAGAUCAAAGAGGGACACACAAAAGCCCAAAAGAAUACUAAAUGGAAUACUUUUCCUUAUCAGCCACCUUAGUAUAAAUUAGUAACUUCCCUUAGCUUAAAUGUUAAUGAUGCUUAUAUUUGCUGCAAGUCUACCACUAAACCCAAAAAUAUAGUACCUCAAUACUUGUAGGUAAAUGAGUUUUGUAGCUUUGUCUUUGAUAUUUUGCAUUUUACUCUUACAUCAUCUAAAAGAUUUUAGAGUAUUAAUGAGUGCCUGUCUACCUCUGGUCCUGUUUGGCUUAUUUAAUUGGCUAUAAGCCCCAGUUUAGCUCUUCAGUCCUCUUGGCUACAAAGGUUCCACCGAGGGACUAGUUGGACCCAGGGCAGGGAGCCACACCACCCUGGCAACGGAUGGGACAAAAUGAAAGUUUGGCCAUAGAUGCUGCCUCUGACAGAUCUUGGUCAAAAGAGAGAAUUAUGAACUAAAAUAAAAUUUUAA